GACGAACGCUGGCGGCGUGCUUAACACAUGCAAGUCGAACGGUGAACCGGGCUUCGGCCCGGGGAUCAGUGGCGAACGGGUGCGUAACACGUGGGCAACCUGCCCCAGACACUGGGAUAACUCCGGGAAACCGGGGCUAAUACCGGAUACUCUCAGCCGACCGCAUGACCGGCUGAGGAAAGCUCCGGCGGUCUGGGAUGGGCCCGCGGCCUAUCAGCUUGUUGGUGGGGUAACGGCCUACCAAGGCGACGACGGGUAGCUGGUCUGAGAGGACGGCCAGCCACACUGGGACUGAGACACGGCCCAGACUCCUACGGGAGGCAGCAGUGGGGAAUCUUGCACAAUGGGCGCAAGCCUGAUGCAGCGACGCCGC
rnacentral:rRNA from 1 species